rnacentral:lncRNA from 1 species
CAGAUCUUAAUGAAACUCAUCACAGUUUUCUUUACUUAUUACCAGUACCAUAAAACGUUUUAAGCACGGAUUUCUUGCAGCUACUUCUUCCACUCCAUCUGAAAGGCAUUUGGAUAGUCUUGGACAUGGUCUGCGGAAUUUUAUUGGCAGAUGAAACUUAUCUCGGAUCUUGAAAUAGAGAGAACAGAUAAAGAUGAGGCUGAGCAUGCCAAUGGAUUCUGUACUGAUUAGACCCAUGAUAUGUGAGCCGACCAACUUGGCUUCAGACAAGGUGAGGCUGCCUGAGUUCUGGAUGACAACUACCUGCUGACUCAUUUUUCAUAGCAAUAUACUGAUAUUAAAGGAACCCCAAGAGAUGAUAAUGGUUUCCACAACCACCCACAUGGUUCUCCUGAGUAGAGCUGUAUUGAAUCAGGGCUAAACAUGAAACAAAAUUUGACAUGAGUAGGACCACUAUGACUAGCAAGAGCCUGAACAUGAAAAGGGAGCUUCUGUACCAAGUGCCUGGA